CGCAGGCGCAGCGCCCCCCCUCCGACCCCCGCCUCCCGCCUCCCGCUCCCCGCUCCCCGGGACACCCUUACAGAGCCCAGCACCUCCUUCCCCUCCCGGGGUCUCCCGCUGGACUGCGCUGCGGUUUCUCUGCACAGCGCUUGUCGGUUGCAGUAUGCAUGCUGCUGACCUUCCAUUCUCAGGGACAUCCAUCCCUCAAAGCACACCUAGGUGUGAUGGCACAGGAGUUGAACCUGGUGAGCUGGUUCAACCUGAUAAAGUGGAAAACGCUGAAGUAUGUGGAAAACAAGAAACAGGGAUAGAGAAGUAAAAACUACAUUUUCACACACACCACCCCAAGAUCGCCAAAUCACCAAAAUGUGUAUUUGAUAUGUAAUUAAAGUUAGACUUUCAGGCAAUUCCGUCUUACAUUUCUGUCUUAUAUUUCUGUCUUACAUUUUUCCUUUCUUCUCAACCACCCCUAAAGCGUCCUUACCGAAGAUACUUGUCUUCACUAAUACAGCUUUCUCUUCAGUUGUUUUCUCCAAUUGCUCCUAGUCUUGUCACUUAAACAUUUUUUUUUUUUGAGACAGACUCUCACUCUACCACCCAUGCUGGAGUGCAGUGGCACAAUCUCGGCUUACUGCAGCCCUUCCGGGUUCAAGUGAU
rnacentral:lncRNA from 10 species